rnacentral:rRNA from 1 species
AGAGUUUGAUCCUGGCUCAGAAUGAACGCUGGCGGCGUGGAUAAGACAUGCAAGUCGAACGAAAAGUGAUUUAGUUUACUAAUGAUCUUUUAGUGGCGGACGGGUUAGUAACGCGUGAGCAACCUGCCUUAAAGAGGGGGAUAGUCCUGGGAAACUGGGUUUAAUACCGCAUAAGCUCUACGGAGUAAAGUGGCCUUCGGGUCACGCUUUAAGAUGGGCUCGCGUCCUAUCAGCUUGUUGGUGAGGUAAAAGCUCACCAAGGCGACGACGGGUAGUUGGUCUGAGAGGACGAUCAGCAACACUGGAACUGAGACACGGUCCAGACACCUACGGGUGGCAGCAGUCGAGAAUCAUUCACAAUGGACGAAAGUCUGAUGGUGCAACGCCGCGUGUGGGAUGAAGGCCUUAGGGUCGUAAACCACUGUCAUGUGAGAGUAAGACAUAAUAGUUAAUACCUAUUAUGUUUGAUAGUAUCACAAGAGGAAGGGACGGCUAACUUCGUGCCAGCAGCCGCGGUAAUACGAAGGUCCCGAGCGUUAUUCGGAAUCACUGGGCGUAAAGGGAGCGUAGGCGGCGCGGUAAGUCAGAUGUGAAAUCUCAGAGCUCAACUCUGAAACUGCAUCCGAUACUGCCGUGCUAGAGUAAUGGAGGGGUAACUGGAAUUCUCGGUGUAGCAGUGAAAUGCGUAGAUAUCGAGAG